rnacentral:rRNA from 1 species
UCCUGGCUCAGGACGAACGCUGGCGGCGUGCUUAACACAUGCAAGUCGAACGGAAAGGCCUCUUCGGAGGUACUCGAGUGGCGAACGGGUGAGUAACACGUGGGCAAUCUGCCCUGCACUUCGGGAUAAGCCUGGGAAACUGGGUCUAAUACCGGAUAGGACCUUUAGACGCAUGUCUUUUGGUGGAAAGCUUUUGCGGUGUGGGAUGGGCCCGCGGCCUAUCAGCUUGUUGGUGGGGUGAUGGCCUACCAAGGCGACGACGGGUAGCCGGCCUGAGAGGGGUCC